AUUGAACGCUGGCGGCAGACCUAACACAUGCAAGUCGAGCGAGCGGCGGACGGGUGAGUAAUGUCUGGGAAACUGCCUGAUGGCGGGGGAUAACUACUGGAAACGGUAGCUAAUACCGCAUACCAUCAGAUGUGCCCAGAUGGGAUUAGCUAGUAGGUGGGGUAACGGCUCACCUAGGCGACGAUCCCUAGCUGGUCUGAGAGGAUGACCAGCCACACUGGAACUGAUACACGGUCCAGACUCCUCCGGGAGGCAGCAGUUGUGAAUAUUGCACAAUGGGCGCAAGCCUGAGGCAGCCAUGCCGCGGGUGUGAAGAAGGCCUUCGGGUUGUGAAGCGCUUUCAGCGAGGAGACUUUAGCCGCAGAAGAAGCACCGGCGAACUACGGGCAAGCAGCCGCGGUAAUAC
rnacentral:rRNA from 1 species